UACGUAGGGGGCAAGCGUUGUUCGGAAUGACUGGGCGUAAAGGGUGCGUAGGCGGUGUAGCAAGUUAGAAGUGAAAUACCUAGAGCUUAACUCAGGUGCUGCUCCUAAAACUGCUAUACUUGAGUGCAGUAGAGGAAAGUGGAAUUCCUAGUGUAGCGGUGGAAUGCGUAGAUAUUAGGAGGAACAUCAGUGGCGAAGGCGACUUUCUGGACUGUAACUGACGCUGAGGCACGAAAGUGUGGGGAGCAAACAGG
rnacentral:rRNA from 1 species